rnacentral:rRNA from 1 species
UACGGGGGGGGCAAGCGUUGUUCGGAAUUACUGGGCGUAAAGGGCUCGUAGGCGGCCAACUAAGUCGGACGUGAAAUCCCCAGGCUCAACCUGGGAACUGCGUCCGAUACUGGAUGGCUUGAAUCCGGGAGAGGGAUGCAGAAUUCCAGGUGUAGCGGUGAAAUGCGUAGAUAUGCGGAGGAACACCGAUGGCGAAGGCAAUCCCCUGGGCCUGCACUGACGCUCAUGCUCGAAAGCGUGGGGAGCAAACAGG